GAUGAAGAACGUAGCGAAAUGCGAUAACUAAUGUGAAUUGCAGAAUUCAGUGAAUCAUCGAAUCUUUGAACGCACAUUGCGCCCCCUGGUAUUCCGGGGGGCAUGCCUGUUCGAGCGUCAUUUCACCACUCAAGCCUCGCUUGGUAUUGGGCAACGCGGUCCGCCGCGUGCCUCAAAUCGACCGGCUGGGUCUUCUGUCCCCUAAGCGUUGUGGAAACUAUUCGCUAAAGGGUGUUCGGGAGGCUACGCCGUAAAACAACCCCAUUUCUAAGGUUGACCUCGGAUCAGGUAGGGAUACCCGCUGAACUUAAGCAUAUCAAUAAGCGGAGGA
rnacentral:misc_RNA from 1 species